rnacentral:rRNA from 1 species
CCAUGCACCGAAGCUGCGGCAGCGAUGCUUAUGCGUUGUUGGGUAGGGGAGCGUUCUGUAAGCCUGCGAAGGUGUGCUGUGAGGCAUGCUGGAGGUAUCAGAAGUGCGAAUGCUGACAUAAGUAACGAUAAAGCGGGUGAAAAGCCCGCUCGCCGGAAGACCAAGGGUUCCUGUCCAACGUUAAUCGGGGCAGGGUGAGUCGACCCCUAAGGCGAGGCCGAAAGGCGUAGUCGAUGGGAAACAGGUUAAUAUUCCUGUACUUGGUGUUACUGCGAAGGGGGGACGGAGAAGGCUAUGUUGGCCGGGCGACGGUUGUCCCGGUUUAAGCGUGUAGGCUGGUUUUCCAGGCAAAUCCGGAAAAUCAAGGCUGAGGCGUGAUGACGAGGCACUACGGUGCUGAAGCAACAAAUGCCCUGCUUCCAGGAAAAGCCUCUAAGCAUCAGGUAACAUCAAAUCGUACCCCAAACCGACACAGGUGGUCAGGUAGAGAAUACCAAGGCGCUUGAGAGAACUCGGGUGAAGGAACUAGGCAAAAUGGUGCCGUAACUUCGGGAGAAGGCACGC